rnacentral:rRNA from 1 species
AUUGAACGCUGGCGGCAGGCUUAACACAUGCAAGUCGAGCGGGGUGAGGUGCUUCGGUACUGAUCCUAGCGGCGGACGGGUGAGUAAUGCUUAGGAAUCUGCCAUUUAGUGGGGGACAACAUUCCGAAAGGGAUGCUAAUACCGCAUACGUCCUACGGGAGAAAGCAGGGGAUCUUCGGACCUUGCGCUAAAUGAUGAGCCUAAGUCGGAUUAGCUAGUUGGUGGGGUAAAGGGCUACCAAGGCGACGAUCUGUAGCGGGUCUGAGAGGAUGAUCCGCCACACUGGGACUGAGACACGGCCCAGACUCCUACGGGAGGUAGCAGUGGGGAAUAUUGGACAAUGGGCGGAAGCCUGAUCCAGCCAUGCCGCGUGUGUGAAGAAGGCCUUUUGGUUGUAAAGCACUUUAAGCGAGGAGGAGGCUACCUAGAUUAAUACUCUGGGAUAGUGGACGUUACUCGCAGAAUAAGCACCGGCUAACUCUGUGCCAGCCGCCGCAGUAAAAC